UACGAGUGCCUCGAGCGUUAUCCGGAAUCAUUGGGCGUAAAGGGUGCGUAGGCGGCGAUGUUAGUCUCGUGUAAAAUCUUUCGGCUCAACCGAGAGUCUGCAUGGGAAACGGCAUUGCUUGAGGACGGGAGAGGUCUCUGGAACUCAUGGUGUAGCGGUGAAAUGCGUUGAUAUCAUGGGGAACACCAAAAGCGAAGGCAAGAGACUGGCCCGCUCCUGACGCUGAAGCACGAAAGCGUGGGUCGCGAAUGGG
rnacentral:rRNA from 1 species